UCCAAAGGAAGUCCUAUGAGGUUUGGUUGGUUUUCAUGUGAGCAAUCAGGGAAGGCUUCCGGGGGGAGGUGAAAUUUGAACUGUUCUUUAAAAGAUGAGCAGGAUUUGAGAGAGAAAGAGAAAGAAGAUGGAGCUGCCCCAUUCCUUUUCUCCUCCAUCUUCUCCUCCUUGACCUCAGAGAAUUUGGCUCCGCCUCAGGCACCCUCUGUAGACUUCAGGGGACAGAGGACCUGAGAGUAGCCUGGGAAGGAGGCAGAAGGUCCCCACCUCUCACCGCCCUCCCUCUCAGUGAAUAUCAGCCCCACAACUGAGUGUCCACCUCUGGAUCUGCUGGGCUCAGAAGACUGAGGUGCAAGUCUUCUGCCGAAGCCCCAAGGCCCACCCGCUAUGGUCAGAGCUCCAGGUCAAAGCUGGGCCUUCCCUGUAAGCCCUUGGAGCCAAGAUCUCAACCUGGAAUUGCCUCAGAAAGACCUGGAGAGCUCAGAAAUAUCCAGAGGCCAGGAGCCCACCCCCACACCUGCAGACUCUGACCAUCCCGAUGGGGCCGGUGCCUUGUGAAGGGUUUUCCAGGGCUGCUGAUGGCCUCCAGGACUGAGAACCGUGGCCAGUGCCCAAAGAACAAGAAGAAACUAUAUGUGCUGUUUUGCAGAAACCGAUGUCCCCGUUUUGCAGAUGUUGCUAUCUUGCAGAGAAAUUAACACACUCGCUUGCAGCGAGACCCCUGCAAAAUGGUUCCAGCGCCAAGCGUCCUAAAGUUACCUUAAGCUCAUUAGCAUCUUAAAUUCUCCUCCUCUGGGAGGGUCCCAGCCCCCAUUUUCAGAUCAGGGGGUGUACGAAGUGGCAUAUUUACCUGCUACCCACACGCCCUGAGCGAGCACAGUUGUUACACAGCUGUUACCAAUAGACCUGUUAUCCUCUGCUCUGUUGUGGAUGAAGUCUCUGUGGGCACUGAGCCCGAGAGACACUGCGUUGGGGAAACAUCCCAGGUGUUCUCCAUUGCCUGUGCAGGCAAUAAAGCUUUUCUCCACCCACUUCUGCCUUGGCUGUGCUUAGAGAGGUGAACCCAUUGAGUUCGGUUACAUUCACACCUCAGCCUCCAACCAUCCCUAACACACACACACACUCACCAGCAAACAUCCCAGCCAAACUCCCAUCCUGCCUAGAGGGUCCUGGCUACCUCAGGUGACGAGGACAACUCAACGUUAGGGGUGGCUCUGCCAGCCGCACACCUCAAGAUCCACGGGGUUGCUGGUGUGGAGGAGGCGCUGGCAUGGACAGCCUUUCGGCCCCAGAGCCUUUUCUGGUCAGGGCAGCCUGCUGCUGAGGAGACCUGGCUGCAUGCCAGGCUGUGUGCCACCCUGACCUGUGUCCAGGGCCACCACUGCAUGGUCACAGACUGUUGGAGUUGGAAAGGCCCCUCAUUUCACAGGCAGAGAUGCUGUGGCCCCGCAGUCGGAUGCAGCCAUGCAAGGGAUGGAGAUUUCAAAGGCAAACCUAUGAUUGUGUUGUCAUCACUCUGCUUUGGCCUUGGGUGCCCCGGCCCUCCUUCCAGGGAGGAGAACUGUGUGAUCUCUUCUUGCUGACUCUUCUAACCGUCUGCUUACCAGUGAGAUACCCUCUAAUCACAGACCACAGAUACGCCCCAGAGGACAAGCUGGGACCCUGGCUGAGACACACUUACAAGUGGCCAUGGUCAUUGCUUCAUUGCUGGAAGCCCCCAUCCCAUCCCACCUCACCCACCCCUCCCACAGGGGGCUGUCCCUGCCUGUCGGAUCACCAUGGUGUCCCAGUUCCCUGCACAGGGCCUGCCAGGGAACCAUCGCCGUUGGAGAAUAGCCCUUUGGACACCCCUCCGGCUCCUCCACUCCUCCCCACCUUUUGCCCAAGAUUCAGACUCAGCAGGUUUGGGUAGGGCCUGAGUCCCUAAAAGCGUCCAAGUGGGUCUGCAGCCCAGCUGGCCCCACCCACCUGCACGCUGAGGUGCUGGGGUUCCAAGGCUAUCCCCCGAGGUGUCUGCAUUCCAGAAGCAAGGAUGGAUGGCCAAGAGUGGAAUUUCAGGCAGUAAGUGCAGUGGUUAUGAACCUGCGCUCAAGAAGUUCAAAUUCCUGAUCUUGACCUUGGGCAAGUCCUUAACCUGCUUGAGCCUCAGUGUCAUCUGUGGAAUGGGGAAGUAAUAGCAUCCACCUUGCAGAGUUGCCGUGAUGAUUAAGUGAGUACCUGGCAGCUAAUGUAUGUAAGUGUGAACGGUUAUUAUAAUCUGUGCUAUUUCUAGGACAGAAAUCUGUUUAGAGGUGGAAAUGUCUUUUAGUCCCUCUGAAAUCAUCUCAAAGGUGCUUUCCUCGUCUCAUGAAAGGCCAGCUCAGCUGCCUGGCCGCAACGUGGACUUUCAGAGACUAGGUGGACCCUAUGUCUGAUCUGGAUUAGACCAUCAGGGCCUUUGAAAUGUUAAUGAGGGUUGUGUUUUGACACUGCCAGUUCAAAGGGAAGCAUUAGGAAGCAGUGUUUCCCCUGGGAAGCGGGCAGGAAAGCCCUGAGGUUGGGGGGAGGGUCAGCGGGGCAGGUGGCCGCUGGUCAUCAAACCUCUACUAGGAGAGUUGGAGAAACCUGUGACAUCACCAAGUCCAAGCCCCCCAUUGUACAGAUGGAGAAAUUGAGGGUGUCACCCUCUGGUGAGGAUGCACAUCCACUGAGAAUCGGUGCCCUAGGAGGUUCCGUGCAGCUGCGGGACAUGUGUAGGGGCAGUGAAGGUGGGAUGGUGAAGCCCUUUAUGCCGUAGAAGGCACCAUGGUGGGGCCCAGGGCUAGUCAGACAGAGCUGGGGGGCAGGGCCCAUGCCUGGGGUCAAGCCCUGACCCAUAACCUCUGCCUGGCCCUUCCUUAACGGGGCAGGCCAACCUAGGCUGACCCCGAGGGAAUAUGAUGAAGAGUGGCUGUGAGGGCCCCUGGAGGCCAGUUCUGCAGCAUCCACCCCUGUUCUGUGCCCUCUUUUGGAACGUAUUUGUGCUGCCCCAAUUUCUAAGAAUUCAGAAACUCCUUCAGGGACCAAACUCAUCCCAGGAAUAAAAACUCAAUUCAGUUCUCCACUAAAACCAUUUCUUCUUUUGAAACGCUUUAUACAGAUGUUGGAUUCCAGGAAAUUCAGGUUUGAAUCCCCAUUCCACUACUUAUUGUUAAAAACAACAUGGAACAAACCUUGACUCUUAGAGCCUCAGUUUCCCCAUCUGUAAAGUAGGGAGAGUCAUCUCUGCUUUGCAGUCUUGCUGAGAAGAUUAAAUUAACUUAAUUUAUUUUAUUAAAUUUAUUUUAUUUAUUAAAUUAAAUUAAUUCAGCCACUCAUUCAACACAUUUUUCCUGAGCACCUACUAUGUGCCAGACAUCGAUGACACAGCAAUGAAUACACGAGAGAGAGACAGCAGCAUGUGCUCAUGGGGCCUUCAGAGUGAUAUCAACCAAUAGUGACCCCAAUAUCUAUGCGACCAAC
ensembl:lncRNA